rnacentral:rRNA from 1 species
AGAGUUUGAUCCUGGCUCAGGAUGAACGCUAGCGGCAGGCUUAAUACAUGCAAGUCGAGGGGCAGCAUGAGUGUAGCAAUACACUUGAUGGCGACCGGCAAACGGGUGCGGAACACGUACAGAACCUUCCUUCGAGCGGGGAAUAGCCCAGAGAAAUUUGGAUUAAUACCCCAUAGUAUAUUGAAGAGGCAUCUCUUUAAUAUUAAAGAUUUAUCACUUGAAGAUGGCUGUGCGGCUGAUUAGGUAGUUGGCGGGGUAACGGCCCACCAAGCCUUCGAUCAGUAACUGGUGUGAGAGCACGACCAGUCACACGGGCACUGAGACACGGGCCCGACUCCUACGGGAGGCAGCAGUAAGGAAUAUUGGUCAAUGGACGAAAGUCUGAACCAGCCAUGCCGCGUGAAGGAUGAAUGCCCUCUGGGUUGUAAACUUCUUUUAUAUGGGACGAAAAAAGAUUUUUCUAAAUCACCUGACGGUACCAUAUGAAUAAGCACCGGCUAACUCCGUGCCAGCAGCCGCGGUAAUACGGAGGGUGCAAGCGUUAUCCGGAUUCACUGGGUUUAAAGGGUGCGUAGGCGGUUUGAUAAGUCAGUUGUGAAAUUCCCCGGCUUAACCGGCGGGACUGCGAUUGAUACUGUCAGACUUGAAUUAGGUUGAGGUAGGCGGAAUGUGGCAUGUAGCGGUGAAAUGCAUAGAUAUGGCAUAGAACACCAAUUGCGAAGGCAGCUGGCUACACAUAUAUUGACACUGAGGCACGAAAGCGUGGGGAUCAAACAGGAUUAGAUACCCUGGUAGUCC